rnacentral:rRNA from 1 species
AAAUUUAAAUAAUAAACUAGGAUUAGAUACCCUAUUAUUUUAAAUGUUAAUUAUAUUUACCAGGGUACUAUUAGUUAAGGUCUUUAAACCCAAAGAAUUUGGCGGUAUCUCAUUCCAUUCAGAGGAACCUACCCCGUGAUUGAUAAUACACGAUUUACUCUACUUAAUUUAUUUGUUUGUAUAUCUCCGUUAUCAGAGAAUCUUUUUAGAGUUAUAAUUCUCAAGAUUUAUAAUUAUAAAAUAUUUCAGGUCAAGGUGCAGCUUAUAGUUAAGAGGAGGUGGGUUACAAUAGGUUUUUGUUUAUAACGGAUUUGAUGGUGAAAUACUAUUAAUGAAGGUGGAUUUGAUAGUAAUUUAAUUUAUUUAAUUUAACUGAUAUUGGCUCUGAGGUGUGUACACAUCGCCCGUCGCUCUCAUUAUUGAUUAUUCUAUUUUAUUAUUUUAAGGUAGCUUCAAUUAUAGAUGAGAUAAGUCGUAACAUAGUAAAUGUACUGAAAAGUGUAUCUAGUAAGAGUUUCA